CUACCUGUGGUGUAGUGGUAUCUCCCUUGGAUUGGGUUCUAAGGAGUCAUCGGUUCAAAUCCCAACAGGUGGG